rnacentral:rRNA from 1 species
AGCAGCCGCGGUAAUUCCAGCUCCAAUAGCGUAUAUUAAAGUUGUUGCAGUUAAAAAGCUCGUAGUUGAAUUUCGGGGUCAGUAGGUUGGUCGUGCCAGCGGUAUGCACUGGCCUCACUGAUUCCUCCCUCUUGUAGAACCGUAAUGCCAUUAGUUUGGUGUUGCGGGGAAACAGGACUGUUACUUUGAAAAAAUUAGAGUGUUUAAAGCAGGCUAACGCUUGAAUACAUUAGCAUGGAAUAAUGAAAUAGGACGUUCGAUCCUAUUUCGUUGGUUUCUAGGGUUGACGUAAUGAUUAAUAGGGAUAGUUGGGGGCAUUAGUAUUCAAUUGUCAGAGGUGAAAUUCUUGGAUUUAUUGAAGACUAACUACUGCGAAAGCAUUUGCCAAGGAUGUUUUCAUUAAUCAAGAACGAAAGUUAGGGGAUCGAAGACGAUCAGAUACCGUCGUAGUCUUAACCAUGAACUAUGCCGACUAGGGAUCGGAUGAUGUUAAUUUUUUAAUGACUCA